GAGAGGAAACCACACCGUGCAGAGACGAGCCGAGCGCAUCAGUUUCACAUUUAACUGAGCCGAGACAGGAGAGGAUAUUUGCCCGUCUGUCUCUCGACAACAUGAAGCUGAUGAAUUGUAUUCUAAUCGUGGCGCUGAGCUGUCUCUGGCAAGAGCCGGGUCGUGUCCACGUGAGAGCCGAAGAAAACACCACCGCGGCAAUGAUGCCAGAGGAGUUUACGAACGACGUGGAUGUAAAAGGUCUCGGUGGCAGAUGCAGCUGGACCCUGACGAUGUCUGGGAACGGGAGCGACGUCACGGUGGCUCUGACGUCAGACUCUGCAGAUGCGCUCGCCGAACUCAUCUGUCAGGACCUCGACUGUGGCGGCGUCUACCGCCUCAACAAAACCCCCCCCCCUCCAAACACCACGUGUUUCCAGGAGUGUUCGUACCAGGACCGAGGCUUGAAGAACUGCUCUGAGAGUGUGGAGCCCGACUGCACCGUGAUCGCCAGAGUGGACUGUGGCCACCAGGCCGUGCGUCUGGCAGGGGGUCCGGACCGCUGUGCUGGACGGGUGGAGCUGUGGCGAGACGGGACGUGGGGGACGGUGUGCGACGACGAGUGGGACAUGACGGACGCCAACGUGGUGUGCGCCCAGCUGGACUGCGGCUACGCCCUCAAUGUGACGGGGCAGGGCGGCUCCUUCCCCCCGGGCAGAGGACCCAUCCACCGGGACGACCUGAACUGCACCGGCAGCGAGGACAACCUGUGGGACUGCCCCGCUCAGCAGGACGAAUCCGACUGUGGACACAAGGAGGACGCUGGGGUCGUGUGCUCAGAGAUGAGGGCCGUCAGACUGACUGGAGGUCUGGACCGCUGCGCCGGUAAAGUGGAGAUCCACCGAAACGGGAGCUGGGGGACGGUGUGCGACAACUGCUGGAAUAAACAGACGGCCGCCAUGGUCUGCUCCAUGCUGCAGUGUGGCGCCGAGCCGCAACAGUUCUCCCAGUUCGACCCCCCCCUCGCCCACAACAACGGGACCCAGUGGUACUACAUGUGUGACAGAGCUCAUCAGAGUCUGUGGGACUGCAAGGAGUUAAAGGACAAACCUCAUCUGUGUAAAUCCUCUAAAGCAUCUGGAGUCAUCUGUAAAGGUUCCCUCGGGUUUCCUUCACCCACCGUAGAUAAUACAUCCACAACGCCCGACUGGAUAGCUUCUACUAUCGCAGCAACCACACCCGGUCCUCCCGGACCUCAGACUUGGACUCUGCCGCUCUUCAGCACCAUCGCUCUGAGUGUGGUUCUCCUCGUGGUUCUCGUCACAAACACGACACUCUGCUGCCAUUACAAGAAGCGACACGCUUUCUUACUGCAGCAGACGCGGACUAACCCCGGGUCGUCCUCCAGACCCAAUCACAACGACUACAAAGACACCGUGAACCUGGUGAAAGUCACGACCAACCCCCCGGACGUGCCCUCCAAUCCCAGGUAUCUGUGGACCCAGCUUAGUAGUGCAGACAGCACGUCAGUAGAUACAGACUAUGAGCAGUAUGACCCAAGCAAUGACCCGUCUCUCGGUUUAUCCACCUUUCGCAAUUCUCAGCGCUACAGAACAGACGUGAACCCCGCAAUGAAGCCUCCCGGUCUUGUCAGCCUCUCUGAGGAAGGUCUCGAAGCCAAUAAUGAAAAAGCGGCGCUGGCAGACUUCAUAAACCGUAACGGCGGCCCUCCAGAUCCCCAGCAGAACCGAGCGUCCAAGAUGUCCGCCGACUCCUUCGACAGCUCCAGCACCUCCUCCGGAGAAUGCUACCAAAACGUGGACAGUAACUACAUCAACGCUCAAGAUUUAGAGAAAACAACAAGUUGCCAAAUACAUCUGAGACUUAUACAAGAAUACAAACCUUAAUUUCAAUGUGUGGGCGGCUGCAGCUCAGAGAAUUGGUAGAAACCCGACAAUUCAUUUCACACCUUCGUGUGGGAGGAUGUGAAACGUGAAAGUCAGACGAAUACCGUUUCCUUACAAGUCUUCUCAAACAUCGCAGAGCCCGGAGUGAGCCAGUCCUCUGCUCGCAACUAUGACCCUUCGACCUACUCGAAUUUUCCGCUUCUUGGACAAGGAGGGAGCGGUCAAAGUUCAGACGACGACUACUCCCCCGUGAGCCCAGAGUGAAAGCGUUUCCCCGAGGACGACGAUGAUGAUGAUGAUGAACCGAAAGGCAUCCAGGUCACUGCGGCUGAGAAAGUGAGGAUGGAGGUUUUGAGAAAUUAAACACAACAAAGCGGAGAUGGGUCUCCUGUUUCCACCGAGAGAAAAGAAAAGUUUUGCAGGCUAGAGAAGCUCAUAAAAUGUGAAUUAAAACUCAGCUCCGUUUGGCUGAAAUCUGGGUUAAAACAUGAACCAAAUCCCACGUGUGAAGGAGCAGUGAGUAAAAAUUAGAAUUAUUUUUUUAAUCCGUGUUUAAUCACCUGAAUCUAUUAACAGAGGAGCUGAGGGGGAAUUAUUCAAUUGGUUGCAAUUUACAAACUCACCACUAGGUGUCACUAAAUCUACACACUGGUCCUUCAAUGUAUCUUAAAAUUCUGUGAAUGUAGAAGUAUUGUAAUAUAGUGUGUGUGUAUAUAUAUAUAUAGAUGUAUUUUUUUAGACUUCUUUUAUAUUCUAAUUGCAAAGAAAAUGUAAUAACUUGCAUCUAUUUGAAUAAUGUCCAUUUAAGUUCAAACUGUUGAGGUACUUUCUGUCGCAGGAAGUUCGUGGCUAAAAGUAUGUGGACACCUAAAUGUUAUUCAUUAACGCAAGGUUGUACUAUUAUUAAUAUAGUACAUCAUGUAAUCCCAAAUACACUCAGUGUAUCUUAUAUUAAUGUACAGGUCAAUGUAUCAAUCAAACUUUAUUUAUACAGCACUUUUCAUACAUAAAACAUGCAACACAAAGUGUUUUACCUUAAAAAACAAACACUCCUAAACCCCCCAUGACCCAGACCCAUGAUUCAUGCACACACCUUAUCUCCAGAUGAAGUUGAGGUUGUGUCGUUGGAAAACGAAUCUCUCAAACUCUCAGAAUUAGAACACUAUUGUCUAAAAGUGUCUUUUAUCGUGAGCAUAUUCACACUGUGGCCCAGUCCAGUAAUAAUGAACAACCCCUAGAGCAAACGCAUGCAAAGGUGUCCACAUACUUUCGGCUAAUAAAGUGCUGUUAUUGUUUGCCAAACUUCUCCCAUUUCAAACUAUUGAUGUCCACCACAAGGUGGCACUACAGCCUUGUUAGUGACUUGCAGGAUCCUUGUUAGUGUUGAGAUGUUCUUUCAUGUAAAACUACAGCGAAACAAACAAAGAAAUAAAAUGUUUCCCCGCAGCGAUGUUUACUAAGUGUGUAACACUUUCAGAACAAAUACUUACAAACAGUGUUUGUACUGAGAGGUCCAAACACUGCGCGGUGAAGAGGGUCUGAGCGGAGCGGGGGGAUUCCUGGAUGGUGAUCAUGGGCCAACAUAAACCAUCAGCGUGAUUUGAAACUAGACCUGGCUCUUCUUGGUCCAUUACAUCUGCAGCAGCUGCAGAGCAUCAGUGCUUUCCCCGCUGAUCCCGAGCGAUGCCUCGAAUCAAAGCGAUGUCUUGUUUUGUACGAGUUAAUAUGACAAACUGCUUCAAAGCGCUGUAAAACCUUCAGCAAGGGGGUGGCUGUGCUGAAUGCAGGGAUAAACACGGAUUAGCUGCAGCUCAGCUAACGUGAGAAGAGGGAGUGAUGAUGCAUUAGGCUGAUAACCAGCAGAAUUGGGUGUUUUUGGACUAGAAGGUAUUUGGCAAAGAAGAAGAAGAAGAACAGGAGGAGGAGGUGGAGGAAGAGCGGGAUGAUUGUGUGUUGGAGUGUGGACGGGAGGGGGGGGAUCGGAGUUGAAGCUGAGGAGAAAAGGAGGAGGUGGAUGGAGAAGCCGGCGAAGAUAAAAAGUGUCUCAGAGAAUCAUAUAUUACGCUCAAAUUUAGUCCAGAGCUCCGCAUCGAGAUAAACACGCGAAUUAACGACCAGAUCUCCUUAUGAAACUCAAUCUCUUUCACAUGCCAGAGAAUCCAGGACACACACACACACACGCACACACACACACACACACACACACACACACACACACACACACACACACCACUCAACA